GACGAACGCUGGCGGCGUGCUUAACACAUGCAAGUCGAACGGAAAGGCCCUGCUUUUGUGGGGUGCUCGAGUGGCGAACGGGUGAGUAACACGUGAGUAACCUGCCCUUGACUUUGGGAUAACUUCAGGAAACUGGGGCUAAUACCGGAUAGGAGCUCCUGCUGCAUGGUGGGGGUUGGAAAGUUUCUGCGGUUCGGGAUGGACUCACGGCUUAUCACCUUGUUGGUGGGGUAGUGGCUUACCAAGGCUUUGAGGGGUAGCCGACCUGAGAGGGUUCCCGGAGACUAAGGGAGUACGAUACGGCGUAGAGUACUGCGGGCGGCCACAGUCGCGAAUACUACACAACGGGUGGAAGCAUGAUGCAGCCACGCCGCGUGCGGGAAGACGGCCUGCGAGUUGUACAGCGCGUUAGCCUGUGAUGAUGUGUGAGUGACGGUAAUGGGUACAGCAGCACCGGCUAACUACGUG
rnacentral:rRNA from 1 species